UAGCCCACAGUUUAUAAACACUCGGUAGAACUAUAGCCGGAGUCAGUUCCGGCAUGUGGCUGUACAGGUUUACAGUCAUACAUGAACGUGACAUACAGCUAAUUAGUAGUUCUCCAAGCCAGUGCUGUGUUUCAGUCCUUGCUUCCCUCCUCGGAUGCUUCAGAAAGUGCACACUUAACUUCUCAGUUAGCCCUGAGGAAGGAUGGAGUGCACUGGGCAUGAAGGAGGGGGAGAGUAUUGCACUCAUCCAGGGCAUGGAAGAAGGUCAAGCAUGACCAUCCACUCUCAGGACCAUGAAGCACUGGCCAUGUUACCGUUUCAACUGGGAAUAAAAGGCUAGUGCAUCCUGA